rnacentral:tmRNA from 1 species
GGGGAUGUCGGGCUUCGACGGAUGAAUGUUCUGACAAAGCGCGAAUCAAGCUGCACUAACUUGUAAAUCUGGUGCAAAACUUAUAACUGCCAACAAAAACUUGGCACUGGCUUACGCUUAAGUAAGCCCAUCGGCCUGCUGAUGCUCAAUGGGCAGAAAACCGGUGUUAUAUAUUGAGCGCGCCUGCGCAAGCAGGCACUGAACUUUUUAGCGUCUCUCCCACGUACGGGGGUACAUUCGUAGAAACUUUGUCAUCAAGCUUCUUCCGGACGGCGGUUCAACUCCGCCCAUCUCCACAA